rnacentral:rRNA from 1 species
GAUCCUGGCUCAGGAUGAACGCUAGCUACAGGCUUAACACAUGCAAGUCGAGGGGAAACGACAUCGAAAGCUUGCUUUAAGAAGUGACUUAGUGGCGGACGGGUGAGUAACGCGUGGGUAACCUGCCUUACACAGGGGGAUAACAGUUAGAAAUGACUGCUAAUACCGCAUAAAACAGCAGAGUCGCAUGACUCAACUGUCAAAGAUUUAUCGGUGUAAGAUGGACCCGCGUUUGAUUAGUUAGUUGGG